rnacentral:ncRNA from 2 species
ACCUUGCAUCAAGAGUCGGGCCUUCGCCCGACGCCAACCUGCUUCCCGAGCAAGGUGGCGCUCCCGCAAGGGGGGAUGUGGCCGAGGCGGCAACGAAACGGGCGAUC